rnacentral:misc_RNA from 1 species
AGAUCAGAUGGUUCAGAUCUCCAACUGUCACAAAACAACAAACAACAAAUUAAGAGCUUCAAUCUUAAUACGAAACAGAAAACAUGAAAAUGUCAAUGAAGAAAACAUGAGAACAUUUGCAUAUAAGCAUCCCUCCAACAGUAAAAAGCAUAUAAAAUACUAUAGAACAAAAGCAUAACAAUGUCUACACAAAAAAAAAAAGACCACAAUUCAUAAAGAUGAGAUGCAAAUCCAUUGUUCUUCAAAGCCAGUUGUCUAGAAAAUUAAACAAGGGUUGUCUUUGAACAAAUAAGCAAACUUCACUGACUACCAGACCUAAAUCUUUUCUUCUACUCACAACUAACAAACAGUUGUCAAUAAUGAACAGUCAAAGCAAACAUUAAAUGAAAGAAGCAACUAUUAAAUACAAAUACUAUAUGCAACAGUAACCUAUGUCUUCACAAGUGAUGGAGAAAGCAGCCAGGCAACCAAGGAUAUGAGAACAGCUACCCCUAAUACAAUCAAAACAAAGAUUUUUAUGUUCUACAUUAUUUUUUCCCUUAGAUCAGAUUCACAGUUUUUAUAAAGCUCAACAAACUAAGCCUGAACCCUGAGUUAGUUACGACCAACUGCAUAAAUUAUUUUUCCAAUAUGUUUAUAUGUUCCGGCAAUAAAAUCAUCUAACCCAAAAAAGCAACCUAUCCAAAAAUUUCACCAAAAGUCAUCGUUUGUUAAUCAAAUAAACAUUCCUUCAAAUUUGCAUAAUUGGCAAACACUUAACUAGAAUAUACAACAUUUGAUGGAACAUAGAGCUAAGAUGCACUUACAGCUGGG